UGAAACCAACAAAUGAUACACGGACUGCUGUGAUUUUUUUUUCCAAAGCAGGGCCGUUUUGGACGGACAAUGCUUCAAGCUCACGGGUCAACAACACGUCUCCACGUCCAGCUGCAAAGACGGAUCAGCCCAUGAGUCACACACACUGCAUACUCCCAAAACAAUAGACGGGAGGUCUGGCUCAGCCCGACUAGGCCCAGCCUGGCUGCACAAACACACUGUGUGUGUGUGUGUGUGUGUGUGUGUGUGUGUGUGUGUGUGUGUAUACGUGUCUUUGAUCCCAAAAUCUCCACAAGUCAGUGAGGCUUGCACGGAAACCAAAUAAAUGCAAGUAUUUUUAGGAUCCUAAUCAAAGUUAAUAGUACACAGCAGACGUUUUAUCAAAAGAAAGCUGUGUGGGGAUGUAAACAGACGCCUGGUUGUUAUCUGAAGCCUUCCACAAAGAUGCAGUAGUGAGAGGAGGAGUAGUGAAAACUGUUUUGAGCGUCGAUUCCAUAUCCUUGACAUCUAGCUGAAAGUCUAUGUACUAGCGAACUUCAUGGCGAGUCCUUCUCUCAUGGUCCGGGGACAGCAUCAGAGCACGCCAAUAAGUCCUGCCUGACAAAGAUGGCACCCUAGUCGCUUCGGUUUCUUAUUUGUCCUCUUUCUUCAACACGCAGCACACAUGCUGGCGUGGGACCGUCCGAACGGGAAAAGUCCAAA